rnacentral:tRNA from 1 species
CUCGUUGUAGCUCAGUGGUAGAGCUCCCGGCUCGGGACCGGGUGGACGCCGGUUCGAGCCCGGUCGACGAGG